ACACAUGCAAGUCGAGCGGAUGACAGGAGCUUGCUCCUGAAUUCAGCGGCGGACGGGUGAGUAAUGCCUAGGAAUCUGCCUGGUAGUGGGGGACAACGUUUCGAAAGGAACGCUAAUACCGCAUACGUCCUACGGGAGAAAGCAGGGGACCUUCGGGCCUUGCGCUAUCAGAUGAGCCUAGGUCGGAUUAGCUAGUUGGUGAGGUAAUGGCUCACCAAGGCGACGAUCCGUAACUGGUCUGAGAGGAUGAUCAGUCACACUGGAACUGAGACACGGUCCAGACUCCUACGGGAGGCAGCAGUGGGGAAUAUUGGACAAUGGGCGAAAGCCUGAUCCAGCCAUGCCGCGUGUGUGAAGAAGGUCUUCGGAUUGUAAAGCACUUUAAGUUGGGAGGAAGGGCAUUAACCUAAUACGUUAGUGUUUUGACGUUACCGACAGAAUAAGCACCGGCUAACUCUGUGCCAGCAGCCGCGGUAAUACAGAGGGUGCAAGCGUUAAUCGGAAUUACUGGGCGUAAAG
rnacentral:rRNA from 1 species